rnacentral:rRNA from 1 species
GCCAGCACCCAUAUCACCCUGCAUCUCGACAACUGGCAACCCACUGAAGCUCAGUGGGUGUGAGCCUGGUCAGUACCUGGAUGGGAGACCUCCUGGGGAAAAACUAAGGUUGCUGCUGGAA